AGUGAACGCUGGCGGUAGGCCUAACACAUGCAAGUCGAACGGCAGCACAGUAAGAGCUUGCUCUUACGGGUGGCGAGUGGCGGACGGGUGAGGAAUACAUCGGAAUCUACUUUUUCGUGGGGGAUAACGUAGGGAAACUUACGCUAAUACCGCAUACGACCUACGGGUGAAAGCAGGGGCUCUUCGGACCUUGCGCGAUUGAAUGAGCCGAUGUCGGAUUAGCUAGUUGGCGGGGUAAAGGCCCACCAAGGCGACGAUCCGUAGCUGGCCUGAGAGGAUGAUCAGCCACACGGGAACUGGGACACGGUCCAGACUCCUACGGGAGGCAGCAGUGGGGAAUAGUGGACAAUGGGCGCAAGCCUGAUCCAGCCAUACCGCGUGGGUGAAGAAGGCCUUCGGGUUGUAAAGCCCUUUUGUUGGGAAAGAAAAGCAGCAGGUUAAUACCCCGCUGUUCUGACGGUACCCAAAGAAUAAGCACCGGCUAACUUCGUG
rnacentral:rRNA from 1 species